CUAGACAAAGCUAUGGUUUUUCCCGUAGUCAUGUAUGGAUGUGAGAGUUGGACCAUAAAGAAAGCUGAGUACUGAAGAGCUGAUGCCUUUGAACUGUGUUAUUGGAGAAGACUCUUGGCAGUCCCGUGGCCUACAAGGAGAUCAAGUUAGUCAAUCCCAAAAGAAAUCAGUCCUAAAUAUUCAUUGGAAGGACUGAUUCUGAAACUCCAAGACUUUGCCCACCUGAUGCAAAGAG